AACGACGACAACGACAACAACAACAACAACAAAAACGUUACUGGAUUGCCACCAAGUUCACUGACAGUGGAACUGGACUGCUUUCUCUGACUUGUAAAAUGAAAAAUGGAGAAUUAUUCUGGCCCCAUCCCUGGUUAGAUAUAAUUACAUGAAGUGACAAAGGGGCCCAGCUUACUUAUCGAGCACUGCUGCUAUGCAAACAAUGCUUUCUGGGUUCCAGAAUGGCAACCGAGGAGCUGUAGGAACUCUGCAGGUGAGGCUUUGGUGUGGUCCAUUGGCUGAGGAAACCACAGUCAGAAAUGCACGGUGUUCUUGCUGAAGUCCCCCACACUGCUUCCAGUCCAGUGAGGUCAGCUCUCUGCUGCCACAGGCCCCCACUGCAUGUGGGAUUCGACACAUUAACUGAGGAUCACUUUUAAUUUCCCUUGUUACCUACACCACAUAGGGUAAGGCACCUGUCUCCCUCAGUGGCUCCUGAUUGUCAUCUUCCUUUAAAAAGCAGAUUUUUACUUAGGUGGUUUUUGACUAUUUGUGAAUGGAAAAAAGAAUUAUUUGCAUUCCUAGUGAGAUAAAUUCCAGAAGCAAAACUGAAUAAACAUUAGGAAGUGCAAUGUUUUGAAGGUUAA
rnacentral:sRNA from 1 species